rnacentral:rRNA from 1 species
AACGAACGCUGGCGGCGUGCCUAACACAUGCAAGUCGUGCGAGACCUUCGGGUCUAGUGGCGCACGGGUGCGUAACGCGUGGGAACCUGCCUUUAGGUUCGGAAUAACUCAGAGAAAUUUGAGCUAAUACCGGAUAAUGUCUUCGGACCAAAGAUUUAUCGCCUUUAGAUGGGCCCGCGUAAGAUUAGCUAGUUGGUGGGGUAAAGGCCUACCAAGGCGACGAUCUUUAGCUGGUCUGAGAGGAUGAUCAGCCACACUGGGACUGAGACACGGCCCAGACUCCUACGGGAGGCAGCAGUGGGGAAUAUUGGACAAUGGGCGAAAGCCUGAUCCAGCAAUGCCGCGUGAGUGAUGAAGGCCUUAGGGUUGUAAAGCUCUUUUACCCGAGAUGAUAAUGACAGUAUCGGGAGAAUAAGCUCCGGCUAACUCCGUGCCAGCAGCCGCGGUAAU